rnacentral:rRNA from 1 species
ACGAACGCUGGCGGCGUGCCUAAUACAUGCAAGUCGAGCGGACAGAUGGGAGCUUGCUCCCUGAUGUUAGCGGCGGACGGGUGAGUAACACGUGGGUAACCUGCCUGUAAGACUGGGAUAACUCCGGGAAACCGGGGCUAAUACCGGAUGGUUGUUUGAACCGCAUGGUUCAAACAUAAAAGGUGGCUUCGGCUACCACUUACAGAUGGACCCGCGGCGCAUUAGCUAGUUGGUGAGGUAACGGCUCACCAAGGCAACGAUGCGUAGCCGACCUGAGAGGGUGAUCGGCCACACUGGGACUGAGACACGGCCCAGACUCCUACGGGAGGCAGCAGUAGGGAAUCUUCCGCAAUGGACGAAAGUCUGACGGAGCAACGCCGCGUGAGUGAUGAAGGUUUUCGGAUCGUAAAGCUACUGUUGUUAGGGAAGAACAAGUACCGUUCGAAUAGGGCGGUACCUUGACGGUACCUAACCAGAAAG